rnacentral:rRNA from 1 species
UACGGGGGGUGCGAGCGUUGUCCGGAAUCACUGGGCGUAAAGGGCGCGUAGGUGGCCUGAUAAGGGUGUGGUGAAAGUCCGGGGCUCAACCCCGGAUCUGCCGUGCCGACUGUUGGGCUGGAGUACUGUAGGGGCAGGCGGAAUUCCGGGUGUAGCGGUGGAAUGCGUAGAGAUCCGGAGGAACACCGGUGGCGAAGGCGGGUCUCUGGGCAGUAACUGACGCUGAGGAGCGAAAGCGUGGGGAGCGAACAGG